rnacentral:rRNA from 1 species
GACGAACGCUGGCGGCGUGCCUAAUACAUGCAAGUAGAACGCUGAAGACUUUAGCUUGCUAAAGUUGGAAGAGUUGCGAACGGGUGAGUAACGCGUAGGUAACCUGCCUACUAGCGGGGGAUAACUAUUGGAAACGAUAGCUAAUACCGCAUAACAGCAUUUAACCCAUGCUAGAUGCUUGAAAGGAGCAAUUGCUUCACUAGUAGAUGGACCUGCGUUGUAUUAGCUAGUUGGUGAGGUAACGGCUCACCAAGGGGACGAUACAUAGCCGACCUGAGAGGGAGAUCGGCCACACUGGGACUGAGACACGGCCCAGACUCCUACGGGAGGCAGCCGUAGGGAAUCUUCGGCAAUGGGGGCAACCCUGACCGAGCAACGCCGCGUGAGGGAAGAAGGUUUUCGGAUCGUAAAGCUCUGUUGUAAGAGAAGAACGUGUGUGAGAGUGGAAAGUUCACACAGUGACGGUAACUUACCAGAAAGGGACGGCUAACUACGUGCCAGCAGCCGCCGUAACAC